UACGUAGGGUGCAAGCGUUAAUCGGAAUUACUGGGCGUAAAGCGUGCGCAGGCGGUUUUGUAAGACUGUCGUGAAAUCUCCGGGCUUAACCUGGGAAUGGCGAUGGUGACUGCAAGGCUAGAGUUUGGCAGAGGGGGGUAGAAUUCCACGUGUAGCAGUGAAAUGCGUAGAGAUGUGGAGGAACACCGAUGGCGAAGGCAGCCCCCUGGGUCAAAACUGACGCUCAUGCACGAAAGCGUGGGGAGCAAACAGG
rnacentral:rRNA from 1 species